CACAAAUUGGUGUUCAGUAGAAUUGAAUUUGUGGCUUCAGUACUUUAACUUCCCUUAACACACUUUCUAUAAAUACAUAUUCAACUGUUGGUCUUUCACAUAACCUACUGGAAGGCACACAAUUAAGAACUCACUGGUGAAACACGAACAGCUGUUAACUGAAGCAGGAUUUUUUUGUUUUAGAAUAUGUAGACCUCGGUCUCUGAUGAAGUGCAGUGACACGAAACGCGUCAGACCUCAUGGCGCAGGGUUACACAGUUUGUUAAAAUGUUAAAUCUUCAAUAAAAUCAAAGUCUUUUACCAAUGAUCUGAAGACCAAGCGAUUCCUUGGGUGAUCCGAAGAGUGCGUUGCCCAGAACUCUUGUGUGUGCAACAUUGCGUUUUCCCUUAGCGACGGACUCAGGGCGGCUGCACCUGGGUCACAACGAAGUCCGGAAACGGCAAAAAAGCGACCAUCCAUUCUGCGGCGCUUGACUUCUCCUCCCUGGCUAUUCACUGACAGCUCGUCCUCUGCAGCCAUCUCAUUCUCCAGCUCUUCUUCAUCCUCCCAGGAGCAGCAGUAGGAAUGCAAUGUCGGCAGGCUCCCCAUUGGAUUCACAAGGGGUGCAGGAAAGUAUAGGAGGGCAGUGUGUCCAUUCCUGCCUUGCAGAACCGGUGCCAAUACCUACUCCUCCUCCUGCACUGCUGCUGCCGCAGGGUGUGUGUUCAGCGUGGAACUUUGGUUGAAUGCUGUGUUAGUGCAGCAAUUGUGGCCUCCCAUCCGGUAACCUCCUCUCCGUGUGCGCACUUGCUGCAGCCACGUACUGUUUGGUUGCGGCAAAAAACUAAGUGCGCUGAUGCGCAUGCUUACACGAGCGCCAACGAGGUUGUCGGAAGGAAGGCCCUGAGGCAGUAGCCCUCAGGGUCCGGAGGUGAGGCCCUGAGACAGAAGCCGGGAAGAAAUCCAGGUUGUGGACCUGGGCUGGCAUGCCCACUAGAGCCGGGGGCCCACCAGUCCGACCCUGCUCAUAUCUAUAUUCAUAUUCCUGAUGAGUAUGCCCAAUCCCUUUAUUUACCGAUAUGGGAUCUAUCAUACAGAAUCAGUUAUCCAGAAUGCU